rnacentral:rRNA from 1 species
GAUGAACGCUAGCGGCAGGCCUAAUACAUGCAAGUCGAACGGGAUUAAGAGGCUUGCUUCUUAUGAGAGUGGCGCACGGGUGCGUAACACGUAUGCAACCUACCUUCAACUGGGGGAUAGCCUUCCGAAAGGGAGAUUAAUACCGCAUAAUAUAAUUGAGUGGCAUCACUUGAUUAUCAAACGUCAGGGUUGAAGAUGGGCAUGCGUCCGAUUAGUUUGUUGGUGAGGUAACGGCUCACCAAGACUACGAUCGGUAGGGGAUCUGAGAGGAUGGCCCCCCACACUGGUACUGAGACACGGACCAGACUCCUACGGGAGGCAGCAGUAAGGAAUAUUGGUCAAUGGACGGAAGGCUGAACCAGCCAUGCCGCGUGCAGGAAGACGGUCCUCUGGAUUGUAAACUGCUUUUGUUAGGGAAGAAACUUCCGUACGUGUACGGGACUGACGGUACCUAAAGAAUAAGGAUCGGCUAACUCCGUGCCAGCCGCCGCCGUAACAC